AGUGCAGGAACGUGGGUGACCCUGUGGCUCAGUCCCAGGCCCGAGGAGAAACUCCAGAAGCUGCAAUUCUUUCCUUGCCCUUCUUGAGUGAUGAGAGACCCCCAAUACCCCCCAGAGCCUCUGCAAGCCCCUCCCCGCCUGCCUCCCUCACUUCCCCCACGCUUUUCCCUCCAUCUGCAGGCUCUUCCAAUGCCCUUCCCAGCCCUGUAGCCUUGGGCAUUCAUCCCCGCCGAGGCCGUCUCUGGUCUCGUAAGCUCCAGAAUCGGGUUUGCAGAGAGAGAAGUCAAGGUGCACAAGAGGUGGAUAAAGGCACGACCCUCCGCAGGCCAGGGCCACCCUGCAUUACAGCGUUACCCGUGGGUGUGAAGUCCACAAGAUAAGAUUUGAAAUCUAUUAAAGGAAAAUACAGCAAGAAGUGUGAGGAGGAAGAAGCCAAGACUCCAGAAAGCCGAAACCACAAAGGACUUCAGCCACGGGAGCCUGGAGCCCCUCUCAGGUCAGUGGCUCGAGGUGAUACGAUGGCCCCCAAACUUCCUUUCUUCACAAAGGCGCUGAAUCACACACAUCAGAGGAAGGUUAGACUGUCAUCUGUUCAAGAAUGUAAAAAAAGAAAGUUUCACGUAUUACAAACCAUCCCAAGUGGUUUUACAAAUGUCGGCCUUGAAGUGAGGAUUACUAUUUAGAAAAAUUAAUUGUAUGAAACAGUUCACUCUCCAUUACUGUCAACCAGUACAGUGCCAGGACAGCGUGAAAGGAAUGACAUCUUUGCAGAGGUCCUGUCUCGGUGCUCGUGGGGGGCAGCAAGGGUGGGAGCCUGGGCGCUGCGGGGCGCAGGGCCCUCAUCCAGAAGCCGCCCUCUGCCUGCGCCCCUGGCCGGGGUUCCCUGGGCUACCCAACCACCUUUUUAAAAAACUGUUUCUGUUUUGGAAUGGACUAGAAUAUUCACUGUUUUCAGCUAGGAAGCCAGGUUGAUACAACGACGGCCAACUUGAAGAACUUCCCUCUUGGUUCGGUUCGUGACUAUGAAUAACGCAGGCCACUGUGCUAGCGGCAAACGUAGGCGAUCUUGGUAGUUCUGCCUCCGGGAGCCAGGAGGUCCGAGUGUGGAACCAGACACCAGGGGCUUCCAGCAGGGACGGAAGCCCUGCCUUCCCCAGGGGCUGAUGUCUGGCUGUCCCCUCGCUGUCCCCUCUGCUCUGAUGUUUCUGGCUCCCAUUUCUGGCAGGCUUAUUUUCUGGUCAGUAAGUUCCAUGUUUCAAGGCCCGUGCCCACACCUCCUUUGCUCAGUCCUCACGGCCCCUCGCGCAGUGCUAAGCACACCUCGGCUGUCUGAUUAAUACCCGCAGGACUGAGUUGAUCGAGUUGCGCGGGGCUGGGCUGGCCUAGUUUGGGCUACCACAUGCUUCCUGGCCUGCAGCACAUUGCCUGUCCUCCCUGUUUCACUGCUCCCCGGAGGGCUGAGAACCCUUCCACGAGCCAGCCGAGGAAGACACCUGGCCACGUCAGCAAGGCUCUGAGCACGAACACGGGCGACCCUUUCCUGGUCGGAGGCCGCCGGGCCAGCGGCCAGCUGUAGAAACCACACCUGGUCGGCUUCGCUGAGCCGCUGGCAGGUGUCAGGAAGUGCAGGCCCGCGCCCACCGAGACUCCGCCAUCCUCGCGGUUCCCUUCUGAACGGGUAGGACACUCUCAGGCCCGCCCUACAAGGAAGUUUCUUAAGAGCAAAGGUCACCAUUAGGGCCCGGAGCAGGGGUUCAGGUGGCACACUCCCAAGAUGGAGAAAGCCUAGUCACCAAGCAAACCCACGUGCUGACUGGUUCGGUCACAUGAAGAGUAAAGAUGAAACAAUUGUGCACCCGCAGCUGCUCGCUCAGAACGACGUAAAUAAACUCGUUCCUACCGGAGCCACGAACUCGAGAUUUGAGUCCUACUUCACGUGCUUGUUAAAAAUCCCUUAACCUUGGACAUUUCGUUGACUCUCAGAUAGUGUCCCCUUUUUACUAAUUCAUAUGAUCUUUUUGCUUGUUAGUCAAUCCCACGUUCUCCUGUCACUUUCUGCGGAGAGGGGGAAGGACCCAGCAUUCAGCACUUGGCACUUUACAAAGCACCUUUCUGUUUCUCACGACCUUCAAUGCCAGGCUGAGGCUCUGUCGCUGUGUCCACAUUACCAUGGACGCUGGCGCAGCUGGCCGGGGCCUGCGAGGCUCUCAGCCGGCACUGGGACCUGGUCCCACAUGCUCUGCGCCUAAAACUGAGGCCACGCGUGAGCAGCGUGUGAAUGCCGUGACAGUGAGGCAGGGUUGUUUCUAGUUGAUAGGACUGCAAGCACGUUAUGGCUUGUCAUUGAGGAACAUUCUAGAAUCUCUUUACCAAGUUCAGUGUCACAGAGCAGCACAGCUUAGAAGACCUUGGAGACCAUGUCUGCCCCCCAUCCCCCUUCCCCUGCCGAAGUAGCAAGGACAGUUGGGGUAAUUCCACUGAAAAAGCACAGCAGCUCACUUCACCUCAGCUUCUUUGGACAAGCCAAGUGUCCUGAGCCGCUGGGAGUGGUGCAGGCUGACCUGUGUGGGUCCGAAUCGUUCCUUCGCACUCAAGCCAACCCUGAACACCGUCCCAUGGGAUUGUCCCCAACAUAUCGCGGUCUCUGGAGACCGAAGAGCUGCCUCUGGAGCUUCAGUCAACCGGGGUCUGCGUUCCUCAGGAGUUCCUGGAAUCUUCCAGAAUGGACGAAUUAACCAUCUUCGCCUUUGUCACUGUCUUCCUCAGGCAGCGGAACAGCGGGCCUGCUAUAGAACGCGUCUUCUGUUCCCUCGAUAACCCGACACGCGCUGACCUGCAACGUACAUGCUCGCUGUAGGACUGUUCUCUCUGGAUUCCCGAACCUGGGGCCCCGCCUGCUGACUGUGGACCCGCGUCUGCCGACCUCACCGCGGACUGUUCGCCAGCUCCUGCCAGAAGCCUCCCUGAUGGUGGCCAGCGGGUCUCUUCAGCAGCAGCAUCCUUGGCCCUGGGGGGUGGGGGAGGCAGCAGGAAUGACGCGGAGGGGAUGAGAAGUCAGAAGAUGGAAGGGCCUCAGAGAACAGGAGCCAUCCCAGCAGACGCACCUGCAGCUGCCCGGCUGAGGCUGCUCCCGGCCACGUGUCUCUCCUGCCUUCUGUGGGGGCUCAUUCCUGCCCCAGCCUGGAAUGCUCAAGUGUUGUAUGCCCAUGCGGGAUGGCGCUCCCGGCCACCAGGCCUCAGUGCCUGGAAGUGCCCGCAUCCUUCCAUCGUGCUGCUGACCGGUGCCAGCUGACCUCCAUCUGCCAGUCGCCCGCACGGGGCUAGGCUGCAUGCAGACCUGGACCAGCUCCGGCUUGCCAGGCGGGCGCACGCCCACAGAGCAGCCAGCCAGGAGUGCCAGAUGGGGCUCUGACCCCCGGGCUUGGUUCUGAAUGCCCUGCUGCGUCGGGCCUCAGGAGCUGGGCCAGGCUGGCUUGGCUGCUGCCUUUGCCCUGGGAAGACCACAGGCGGCCCCCCCUGCUCAGAUGGACGCCUGGUGUGCAGAGACCCAUCCCCGCCUGCCUCCAGGCUCAGCUCCCGCAGGCUGCAUGGCUGACCUCUGGCUGGAGUAGCUGUGCGGUUUCUGAGCACCAGCGGCAGACUUGGGCCGUCUUUGUCCUGAGUACUCCUUUUUGACCUCAAACGGGCGCAUGACGCUCUCAGGGAGGGAGUUCAGGCCUCCAACAAGAAGCACUAUUGGGAUCAUCAAAUAUGGUAGAUAAGGAAGUGUGGGCCUGGUGGUUCUGAGGACUAGGGUUAAGCGGGGUCUUGUCCCGGUCCUUCUGAAAGGUCAAUUGGAGCGGUGACCCGGGGAGCGGGAGUGGGAAACAGGGCAGGGGAGAGGACCAAGGAUGGCAACCAAGCCUAACUGAGGUCACUGCUGCAAGCCCUGGGUGCCUGGGGCAGAGCCCAGCUGCUCCCUCCCCACGCCCCGUCCUUCUGGGUUGUCUCUGCGCUUGUGCAGUGAGCUCCCCCAGCGUCUGAACAGCCCGGGCACAGAAAAAUGGAGAAAUGCAGGCAGCCCUGUGGUGGGAUGUGUGCAGGGCUACAGCUGGAGACCGGAGAUGGCCCGGAGAAGGGACUUGAAGCUGGGGAGGGCCGCGCGGGAGCAGUCUGUCCCCCAAUCCACCAUUCCUGGAUCUGGGCCUUCCCAUUUCGCUCUGGGCCUGGGGAAAGCGGGGGGAAGUGUCCGCUGCAGCUCUCCAAGUGACUGCCUGUUUGAGAGAAGGACGGGUGAGCCUCUGCUCUCCUCCCUCCUCUCCCUUCCUCUCUCCUCCGCAAGAACAUACAGACGCAUGAACAUACACACACCACCAAACGCCCUCCCCGCGCUCAAGUCUCUGACUUGUCUCCAUGAUGAUGAUACAUGUCCCUCAGAGCCAGGCACCGCCUCUCAAUCUGUGUCUCUCAUCUGUCUGUCUGUCAUCUAUCCAUCCGCCCAUCAUCUGUCUGCCUGACUCUGAGAAUCCUUACACUGGCAUCCAAUCCUGAGCAAUUGUCUGCCUGUUCAGGGCUACGGUUACAAUGAACGCAGUGACUGCAUGAGUGAACACGGGCAUAAACACCAUUUGCCGAGUGUGGCAGGAAACGCUACGGCUGCAAGGGGCCUGCCCCGAAGGACCUCAGGCACUUGAACCUGUGGGGUCUCGGCCCCUUCCCUGUCACAGGGCGGCUCCGUGACAGCUAUUCCCACGGGCCGCCUUCCCAUGUGGCCGGGGAUGAGGGCAGGCCCCCACACGCAUGACAGCAUCCUCCAGGUUACGGGGCAGGGGUGGGGCAGGCUCUGCACCGGCAGGCCUGGUAGGAGCCCUGAGUGUGGACUCCCGCAGAGGUUGUGCUGGCCGAGGGCUCAGCAGAAUGGUUUUGCUCCAGGUCCUGGGCUGCAGAAGGGUGCACACGGGUUUUGCUUUCCCUGCACAAAUUUGUAACUACGGCGCACUCACCAGCAGGUGUUGGCGAGCGGCACCUGCAUUGGGCAGUGCACGUGAUUUUUCCCAAUAAGGAAACCCAAUUCCUGCCUCCUGGCAUGUCCAUGUUGAUGAGGGAGAUGAAGAUCCCAGAUAAAUGUGAAAUGGCACGUCCUACUACGUGCAGUGGGGAAGGUGAAAGGGUGCCGUGAUGGAGAAUGACAGGGAGCGCCUCCUUGAGAGUGCCGUCAAGGAUCCUGGACCAGUGUGUACAUCCGGGAGUUGUCGGAGGUGGACGGAGGUGAAGGAGUGAAUCUGGGGGGAGGGUCCGUUCUGCUGCUUGUUCCCAGGGAAGCCCCCAGAACCGUGAUGGUGACAGCAGCACCAAACCCUACUUUCAGAGUUUGAACCAGACCUCAACAGCACUGACCUUUUGAAAUCCCAAGAUGUUGAAAGUGAGGUGGACUUUGGAUUUUAAGCUCUUAUCGGGAACUACUGUAGGUACUUGUCAUAAAAGGAACGGCAGUAAAACACGGACAUCAGGGUGGAGAUGCGCCACUGGCUCGCUCUGGGGGGGGGGAGGAGCUUCACGCACCUGCUGCCCCAUCUGCUUCAUUUGCGGCUCCAGAAUCUUCGUGCAGCAGCCCUGUGUCCCUGCGAGUGUGCGUUCCCAGGGGCCGGUUAGCGACACCCGUGCCGGAGGCCCCGUGACAAAGGAUGAUUGAAAGGGAAUGACCCCAACAGGCCACAGGCCCUGACGCCGUUCCGGAAGGAACGACAGGCGUGCAUAGACCGGCCGCAGCUUAGAUCAGCCCCAAAGCACGGCAGAAACAGACCCUGCAGCCCACACUUAGAUAUUGUGAACACAGCAUUCAGCUUGAACACGUAAGUGGGGAGACUCGGAGCACUGAUUCACUGAUCGGCUUUCUCAUCGGCCGGCUCUGGCGCUACGCUUUAAAACACCCCAGCCGAGCGGAAAUGUGGCAACAUUAGCCUCCCGUCAGACCACCCGGGCACUCGCGGGUUUGCUUCCUCUGCGGUACUGGCACCUGCUCGGCGCAGCGCAGUCCCUGGGUGUCACGCCAUCCCGUGCGUGAGUGCCGCCACACCUAGCCCGCCCGCUCAACGCCUCCCAAGCCCCUCACAGAGUCCUGGUCGCUAAGACGCCUUUUUGCUGAAAACACUGCCGGUGUUGCCGGGCUUCAGAGUUAAAGAAACAUGAACCUGAAAAAUGCAGCCGCUGCCUGGACAGGACAUUGUUCCAGCACCAUGCGAUGCUGGGAGCUUUGCAUGCGCCCUCCUGCCUGACACACUUGUCAGAGUGCUCCAGAAAACCGUGUCAAAGGGACAGCUUGCCCACUGUCUGGGCCCCGAGCGCUGCUGCCCCAAGCAGGUGGCAGGGCGGCCACAGCGCCCACGACCGUGCGGGGGUCUGGGUUUUAUGCAACGGAGGCUUUCUGACAAGGGCAGGGGACCCACAGCCGGGCACCGUCCCCACUCUGCGAGCCCCCAGAAGCACCUGGAGGCCGAGACACACCACAUGCUGACAGCCACACACCUUCCUGCCUUGUAACCCAGCCCCGCUUCCCGUUAAUAUCUUGUUCAACUUUCGCUCUUUGUGGAAUGUAACGUACAUACAGGAAAGUGCACUGAACGGGUCAGCUUGGUGGAUUUCCACCAACUGAGCACACCUUUGUCAUCAGAGUCCAGAUCAAAACCGGAACACGGGGGAUCCCAGAAGCCUCUCUGCCCCCCCCCCACGGUGCUGCCUUCGGAAGGCUGUUUUGUUUUGCUAUUUUUGGACUUUAUGCAAAUGGAUUUUGUGUGACAUUUUCAUUGCAUUUCUCCCUGUACUAAGUUACUGUAAAAUGCACUGGAGAUAACGCGUUAUGUUUGUUUGGAAGUGGAGAUGAAGACACGAUGUAUUGUCAGGCACCUGCAGGGUUCCUGAAGGGGCUCGGUGUGAGCCAAGGACGGAGUGACAUUGGCCAUGGGAGAUGCUCCGGGGCGUCAGGACAGGCGGGACAGGCUGUCCACACAAGUGUCUCCUUCCCGCACGUGACCUCUGCGUCCCAGCUCGGACUGCUCAUCGCACACGUCCCAGAAGGAACGCGUUGCCAGACGCAGCAGAAGAACUAGAGCGAGCCCGGGUCAGUCUGAGCGUCAGAUAAACCACCGACAACAUUUACUGUAAUCUAGUAAGUCAUAGCACAGUCGUGGGUAGUGCAGAGAAGAAUCCACAUCCAGUAUCAUUUAAGAAACUUCCCACGGUUUCUCUGAACUCCAAAGCCACCUAGGCAUCUGUGUGGCGUGCCGGGCAGACCGCACGGGAUCUAGUUACUGAGAUGAGGUGGGAUGAAAGCAAAGCCCACAGGGCCCGUGCGGAUGGCACAGAGGGCAGAACUCACAGGGACAGGCAGUCACGGGCCAUGAGGCCGGGGUGUGGGAUGCAAGCUCCCACGGCCCGCCAGGUAGAAACACGGUAUUCAUUCCCAGACUAUGCGAUGGGCACCGUCAAAGCAACUUCACUGUAGCCGCCAAGUUCACAGGCUCCAGCGGAGAUCCCUCCUCCCCGGAAUCCCUGAUCUACCUGAGCCCAACAGGGGUCAACGAGUACCUGACAGCACUGUGGGGUGUGGGCAGUGUGAUUCAGGACUAUGACUCGGAUAAGCUACUCCCCGCAUUUGGAUUUGAGGCCCAGGUACCCCUGACUGGCAGGUCUCCCAUGAAUUUGCCUUGAUCUUCAACCCCAGUAACCCCUGCUGCUCAGGCAUCCAGGGCACUGUGGAUGCUUACCGCCAAGCCCUGCCCCAAGUUCGCCUCUACGCCCCCACCAACUCUGCACCCAUCAUCAACCACGUAGCCGUGUUGGCACCCCAGGCUGCACAUCAGGGGAGUGCCUCACAACACCUCGUGCUGUUGCUGCCGCCUGACGGUGCUGUGACAGGCGUGGAGGCCGCACGUGCGGCCGUGGUGUGCCCCUCCCACCUGCGCACGUCCGUGAUCCUGGCGGGUGUGGGUGGAGCCGGCUUGGAGGCCGUGGAGCAGCUGCGUGCUGACGGCGGAGUGUGGGCGCACACUCCAUGACGUAGGGCAGUUUGUGCCCCACGGCCACUUCCAGAAGGGCCCUCGGGAGACGCCGGCACAGAAGCGCCCACACAGCUGGUCUCCUGCUUCAAGGCCCAUUCCCACCGCUUCUACCCCCAGCCAAGAGCUGGGCACAGGCUCCUCCAGCCUAGAUUCCCCUAGAGGGUGGGCUGCGGCGCGUCGCCAGGCUUGCGUCCCCGAGGCCCCUGUGGGCACGGCUCAACCCCGCACACAUUCCCCCUCGCUGCACUUCACGUUUUAUACUUUGUAUUUGCUCCUGCUGUUGCUGUCCAUCGCUCCUGCUUGCCCCUGGAGUCCCUCAUUUAAUAAAGGUCCAUGGAGACCCACGGAGCCGCAGCACACACACGCAGCCCCGUGGGGGGGGGGGGCUCCGCAUGGGCGGGUUCUGACUGGAGCCGCUGCCGAGGCCGUGUCCCUCUGGCACAGCCCAACAUCGGCUCCGGGGAGGUGAGCACAGGAGCGCCUCUGGAGCCCUGGGGCUUGUAGGACUUGUCGCGUGUUGAGUGCAAGCUACUGUCAGGUAUUUGAGCUGCAUGACCUCUGGGCACCAGCUGUGAGACGGGGCGUCUCAGGGGCUACGUCUUGGCCCCUGGGGGCUCGAGCUUUACCAGGAGCUCGAUUAGGAGCAAGACAGCUGGUGCGGGAAUCGAUGCCGCCGAGUCGUGCGUGCGGCCAGAAUGCAGAGCUCGCAUUACCACGGCCGGACUCAGGGCAGGGUCAGUCUUCAUGUUUCCCGUGAUGGGCUGGAUUUUGACAGAAAGACAAGGGCACGAAUCAUUUAAAAGUAGUUGUAGCUUGACUGAUCAUAAGCUCUUGGUAGCUCUUUGUAAAUGUGCUGUUUGUGCUGUUAACCAGGCCUGUCUGAUAAUCGUCCCUACUCUGGGCAGUGAGCUCUGUCCACGUUUUCCAAGUGUAACGUGGUCUAUGGCAUAACUCGCUGAUUUACUCUCUUGGAGUAGAAAUAGGAAGAGAAGAAAUUAGGAAUUAGUUAAUGGCCUUCUGCUUAAGAUUUUUUUCAACAAAAACUUACUUCUUAAGUUAAAAAAUAAGUCUGUGUUUAUUUUCUCGAAGAUAUGUUACAUUAGCAAGAAAAAUAUUAGAAAUUGAAUUUAACUUUCAAUUUUCACUUGGAAGAUUUUUAUCAAUUUAAAAAUGAUGAAAAUCAUCAAUAAACAUAUAAACAUUGUAUGGUCUCAAUGCGUUACCAAAAUGGCUUGGGCAUUAGAUAAAUUACCUAAGGAAAAUCUGAUUUAAGAAAGGAGAUCUAAAAUAAACUCCCCCCCAAAGCAGCAGCCCAUCUCAUCCCAGAUUAAAGACUGUAUUUUACAUUUAAAAAUAGCGCCCUUUUCAAAUUAUAAGUGUAAUAAAUACACAUUAUGGAGAUUUUAGAAAAACAAUGUCUUGAGGCAAAAUAAAAUUGCCUGUCGAUGCCACCAUUUAGGGCGAGAGAAACCACAGUACUCUGUGAAUUUUGUUUCGAUCUUUUUUCCGUGCACCAGAAUGGGAAUACUACAGCAUACUGGUGACCCUGAGUGGAGGGCGUACCUUAGAACGAACACACAGGUAGAGCUUGUCACCAAUGCAGAGACGCGGGUCAUGGCCACACACCGCCGGUGAUUCACACGUGUCCAGCUUGCUGCUUUCCCUUAAUACUGUCUUAAAUAUUUCCCAAGGUCAGUAAAUAUUCUUCAGAUCAUUUUGUCUAAAUGACUGUGUAGUUUUCCAUCACAGGAGAAAACUCCACAAUUAAUUUCUUUCUUCUCUUUUUCUUGAACAUUUGGGACCCACUAUUGCAUGGUUGUUAAUAAUACUACAACAAAUAUCUUUAUAUCCGCAACUUUGCUCAUUCCUGAUUUUCCCAUAGGCUCACAGUACCGGAAUAAAUGGGUCAUAACAUUUGAAAUUGUUAAGCCUCCUGGUAAGUAUUGCCAAAACUCCGUCCAGAAAAGUUGCCUAAAUUUAUCUUCUUCCGCUGGUGUUGGAGAGUGUCCAGUUUAACAGAUCCUGUGCAAAGAAGAUGCUUAUCAAAACAUAAUAAAAAAGAAAUAAAUAUAACCCUUUCAUUGAUAAAAUUGAUUUCUCAUUUUUUGAUGCAGACUUUGAAUUCUAGAGAAGUGAAACAUUAUUUGACGUUUGUUUUGUACUUUUAAAGAAUUGCCAAUUAAUGCCCUUGCC